rnacentral:rRNA from 1 species
AACGAACGCUGGCGGCAUGCCUAACACAUGCAGGUCGAACGAGACCUUCGGGUCUAGUGGCGCACGGGUGCGUAACGCGUGGGAACCUGCCCUUAGGUUCGGAAUAACUCCCCGAAAGGGGUGCUAAUACCGGAUAAUGUCUUCGGACCAAAGAUUUAUCGCCUUUGGAUGGGCCCGCGUUGGAUUAGCUAGUUGGUAGGGUAAAAGCCUACCAAGGCGACGAUCCAUAGCUGGUCUGAGAGGAUGAUCAGCCACACUGGGACUGAGACACGGCCCAGACUCCUACGGGAGGCAGCAGUGGGAAAUAUUGGACAAUGGGCGAAAGCCUGAUCCAGCAAUGCCGCGUGAGUGAUGAAGGCCUUAGGGUUGUAAAGCUCUUUUACCCGGGAUGAUAAUGACAGUACCGGGAGAAUAAGCUCCGGCUAACUCCGUG